rnacentral:rRNA from 1 species
AACGAACGCUGGCGGCAGGCCUAACACAUGCAAGUCGAACGCUGCAGCAAUGCAGAGUGGCAGACGGGUGAGUAACGCGUGGGAACCUUCCCAGUGGUACGGAAUAGCCCAGGGAAACUUGGGGUAAUACCGUAUAAGCCCCUAGGGGGAAAGAUUUAUCGCCAUUGGAUGGGCCCGCGUCGGAUUAGCUAGUUGGUGAGGUAACGGCUCACCAAGGCAACGAUCCGUAGCNGGUUUGAGAGAAUGACCAGCCACACUGGGACUGAGACACGGCCCAGACUCCUACGGGAGGCAGCAGUGGGGAAUCUUGGACAAUGGGCGCAAGCCUGAUCCAGCCAUGCCGCGUGAGUGACGAAGGCCUUAGGGUUGUAAAGCUCUUUUGGCGGGGACGAUAAUGACGGUACCCGCAGAAUAAGUCCCGGCUAACUUCGUGCCAGCAGCCGCGGUAAU